CAAAAAAGUGGUCACUUUUUUAACAACAUUUCUCAAACAAAAACAAGUCUUGGGGGCCUAAAUAAGGCAUUUUAUCACCAUUUGAGACAACAAAAAGGGGGGGGGGGGUGAAAAAGGCGUUAAAAGGCGUGUAUAUCGCGUAAUGGGUUAACAUACCAAUAGUUUUCAGUACUAAUAUAAUUUUGGUUGAAUUUGUCAGGACAAUUUAAAACUCACGGUAUAGACCUGCUGCAUGCAUUUCUGACUUGUGUGAGCGUAUGUAUUGAUGUUGGAACUGUUGUUCUCUUACACAAAAAGACGACUUAUACCAGAUGCGAAAAGGAUGAAAACACAACUUCGGCUACAGUGUUCAAUACAAAAGGAUCCGCAUUGAAGAUCAUUGCAAAAGCCGUUGAAUAUCUCGAUGAACUGAAUAAAGGAGCUAUGUGCCACGUAUGUGCAGCAGUGGAAUUACUUUUUAUCAUUGUUAUGAUUUUCUAUCACCUUAGAAUUUGCCGAGAUGAAAAGAUAAGGAGAACAAAACUUUCAGCUUAAACAAAAGACAUUUGAACGAAGGAACAUCAAAUUCCACAACAAAACUUUCUGCUUGAAGAAUGAAUAUUGCAUCUUCUCGGACUUUAUCGCCAAACUUCAAAUAGUCGUAGAUGUGCUCCAAUUGCUUGAAGAGUAUGAAAGGGACUUAACUCUCAUUUCUGCUUUAAACUAUAGAAGGGACGCGACUCUAUGCAUCUGAGUAAUUAAACUGUUAUUAAAACGAAGGAAUCAAAGCAGUUUUAUCAGAAUACCAUGAGGUUUAAAAUGGAGUAGAACGAUUAGACAACACAUUUAAUCUAAUAUUUUAACCGUCUUCCUGAAAUGCAUGCUCAUUAAAAGAACUAUACAUGUAUGACAAAUCUUUUAUGAUCAACGAAAUAUGCUUACGUUAAUGUGAUGCAUACUGUAUAUAUUUUGGUGUCCAGUUAGUUUAAACAAUAUUGUAUUUAUAAACAAUUCAUUUACAUGAAAAUUGACGGAUAAUAAUCUGUACGGGCUGAGUAGGAAACUGGAAAGGCUUCUUAAGAAACUCAAUUCGUAAACACUAUCUCAAAGAUUAUGUAUAAAAUGGCAAGCCUCGACAUAAGCGGUGGUCCGUUGGUCCGAGACCACCUGAUUUUGGCAAGGACCACCUAAUUUUAAAAGCCGCUGGUCAGUCGGACCACUUGAAUUUUCUGGUUGGUGCAGACUCAUUUGGGAGAAUGGUGAUUUGGUCAAAAACAUGUUAUAAAUAUUUUCUUUAAAAUCAUUUGUCCGAUGUACAUGUAUAUGGUUCAUUAAUUAUCUGAUCAGUUAAAGAAGUUCUUAAGUCAUCUAUAACUUUCAUUUUAAGUCGCUAAAUUUCGUUUAUGCAAGUUAAAAGAGUUUUGACUUUGUGAUAUCAAUUAAGGUACAAAAUUCAUUCAAAUGAUGCUAAUAAUUAUGCAUCGUCGGAUACCUACGGUGGAACCAGUAACAUUAAUGUUAUAUUACAUGUUAAUUAACCGUGGGCAUCCGACGAUGGUAAUUAUGAUAUUGUAUGGGAUAUAAGAUAAACUUAAAAUUUCAUAUACUAAAAAAUGGCAGCAAACAAAAGGAACUGGAAAAAUACAUCUAGUAAUUCUUUGCUACGUAUCUUUAUUUUAACUGUUUAACGAUAGAGAUCCAUUUCCUCCA